rnacentral:tRNA from 1 species
GGUGUAGUGGUUUGAGCAUUAGACUAUAACUCUGGAGACAAGGGUUCAAAUCCCUGCUCAACCA